rnacentral:rRNA from 1 species
AGACGGAGGGUGCAAGCGUUGUUCGGAAUCACUGGGCGUAAAGCGCGUGUAGGCGGUUCGAUAAGUCGAAUGUGAAAGCCCGAGGCUCAACCUCGGAAGUGCAUUCGAAACUGUCGGGCUUGAGUACGGGAGAGGGUAGUGGAAUUCCUAGUGUAGGAGUGAAAUCCGUAGAUAUUAGGAGGAACACCGGUGGCGAAGGCGGCUACCUGGACCGAUAUUGACGCUGAGACGCGAAAGCGU